rnacentral:lncRNA from 1 species
AGUUCCCAGGCUAGGGAUCAAAUCAGAGCUACAGCUGCCAACCUAGAUCACAGCCACAGCAACACAGGAUCCAAGCCACGUCUGCAACCUACACUGAAGCUUGCAGCAACACCGGAACCUUAACCCACAGCGAGGGCAGAGAUCAAGCCCGAAUCCUCACGGACACUAUGUUGAGUUCUUAAUCCAAUGAGCCACAGUGGGAACUCCUUGGACACCCCAUUCUUUGAUAUAACAAAGCUUUAUAUAAAUCCUGCACCCUCAAUGGAAGCAGUAUCACCCCCAAAGGGGUGAAAAUUAUUCUUGGGAGAGAUGACAUGGUCUUAGAUAUGACGAGAGUUUGUGCCUCCUCCAAAGCUCAAAAUUUUAUAUUUAAUUUCAUGGACAAGAGGGACUUUUAAAAAAAAAAAAUCUAAAGAGGCUCCUUAGGAGAGUGAUAAUGGGGGGGGGAGCUUGAGAAACAGUGAUAUAAUGAUGAAAAGCCUACUCUGGAUUCAUUUUCAACUCCGCUUAGGAAAUAACAUCCACCACAAGAAUUUAACUCCCAUCUCUCAUCUAAUAUCCUGUGGAAAACAAACAUCGCCACCAUGCAUGGAGAGCAGAUGCUUUACACAGCACGUGUGCUUGCCACACAUAAUCGCACUUUGUGACUUUUCUAGCACUUUUCAUAAAUUCCAGAGGUUAUCUUCAUCUCCACUGCUCUGUAGAGGCAGCAGAAAUGAAGAAAGAUGACCAUUCUUUUGAAGUCAAUGCUAAGAGCUAUUGUUUAAAUAGCUGGCCCUGAGUCACAGGAUACAGCUCUAAAAAUAUCAAAAGUAGGAGUCUUAGCCUUCUCCACCACCACCUGGAACACAGCUCCCACCACCAGACCCAGUAGGGCUGUUGAUGAGAUUUGGAGGAAUUUCCCGAAACUCAGUGUAUUCAAAGAGAACUCCUCUCUCUCCCCAAACGUACCCUGCUUUCCUAUCCCCCCGGGUCACCAACUGCAUCACUGCUCCCUAAGGUCCUGGGCAAAAAUCUCAGGGAAGGUGUGGUCCAGCCACUCAGCCCAACAGGACAGCUAAGAGCCCAGUCUUUGAAAUCUGCUAUACCCAGGCUGAAAGCCCAGCUCUGCCCCUUACCAACUAGGACCUCAGGCAAGUUACCAUCUCCCCUGCAAAAGAGAAAUAAUAGCUCCCUUCUUCUCGGAGUGGGAAGUGGUUGAAACACGGCGAGGUAUGUAAAAUGUUAAAUGUUUAGCACAGCAUCAGACACAGCAGGUGCCCAAGAGAUGGGACUUGCUAUUAUUGUUGUUGUCAUUGACCCUGGGGAGGCCUUCACUCUCUAGGCUUCCAGAAUAGUUUUGGCGGAUCACCGAAAAGCCUAACAUGGCAGCCAGUCUGAUGAAGGCUCACCACCAGCUCCAUAACUCACGAUGGCAGACCUGCUGCAGAAUUCCUUUUCCUCGCCUGUAAAAUGUGGCCAACAUAACAACGUCUAUCAUGCAUGGAUGCUGCGAGCAUUAAACAGAUAAUGCAUGCAACGCACACAGCAGAUGCCCAACAGAGGGUGUGGUGGCUGCCUUGGACUUAGUUACAUCCUAUUUCAAACCAUUCUCCAAUUGUUUCUCCCAUACAAUACUAUUUUCAAGUACCUGGCCAUGCAUGGGUGCAAAAUAUCCAAAAGGGCCUGAGUUUCCAGAGCCCUCUUACCCAGGAGAAAAUCAGGCACUGCAAGAGAAACUCCACUCUCAUCCAGACGUUUGAGGUCUGAGAACAUGGCCAGAUGACCUGAGGAAGGGAGGGUGUGGUUAAAGCCACGGGGAAGGGGCUUCAGACCAAUGUCUGCCUCAGAAGCAUGUUAGAAAUGCACUUUCUCUUGGAGGUCUCACUGUGGUGCAAUGGAAUCGGUGGCAUCUUGGGAGUGCUGGGACACAGGUUCAAUCCUCGGCC